rfam:Pteropus alecto contig5434, whole genome shotgun sequence.
GGGAAACGAGGCAGGGGCUGGGGCUUUGAGCCACCCCAAGCCCUAGGAAGCAGAGGCUCA